AACCAGACUCCUACGGGAGGCAGCAGUAGGGAACAUUGCACAAUGGGGGAAACCCUGAUGCAGCAACGCCGCGUGAGUGAAGAAGUCAUUCGUGAUGUAAAGCUCUAUCAGCAGGGAAGAAAAUGACGGUACCUGAGUAAGAAGCCCCGGCUAACUACGUGCCAGCAGCCGCGGUAAUACGUAGGGGGCAAGCGUUAUCCGGAUUUACUGGGUGUAAAGGGAGCGUAGACGGCAGAGCAAGUCUGAAGUGAAAGCCCGCGGCCCAACUGCGGGACUGCUUUGGAAACUGCCCGGCUAGAGUGCUGGAGAGGUAAGCGGAAUUCCUAGUGUAGCGGUGAAAUGCGUAGAUAUUAGGAGGAACACCAGUGGCGAAGGCGGCCUGCUGGGCUUUUACUGACGCUGAGGCUCGAAAGUGUGGGGAGCAAACAGGAUUAGAUACCCUUGUAA
rnacentral:rRNA from 1 species